GAUGAACGCUAGCGGCAGGCUUAAUACAUGCAAGUCGAGGGGCAUCGCGGGUAGCAAUACCUGGCGGCGACCGGCGCACGGGUGCGUAACGCGUAUGUAAUCUACCUUUAACCGGGGAAUAGCCCAGAGAAAUCUGGAUUAAUGCCCUAUAGUAUUCUUGGAAGGCAUCUUUCGAUAAUUAAAGCUCCGGCGGUUUUAGAUGAACAUGCGUGUCAUUAGUUAGUUGGCGAGGUAACGGCUCACCAAGACUACGAUGACUAGGGGGUCUGAGAGGGUGAUCCCCCACACUGGUACUGGGACACGGACCAGACUCCUACGGGAGGCAGCAGUAAGAAAUAUUGGGCAAUGGAGGCAACUCUGACCCAGCCAUGCCGCGUGAAGGAUGACGGCCCUCGUGGUUGUAAACUUCUUUUGUACGGGAAUAACCCUCCGAACGUGUUCGGAGCUGAAGGUACCGUAAGAAUAAGGAUCGGCUAACUCCGUGCCAGCCGCCGCGGUAAAAC
rnacentral:rRNA from 1 species